GACGAACGCUGGCGGCGUGCUUAACACAUGCAAGUCGAACGGAAAGGCCCUGCUUUUGUGGGGUGCUCGAGUGGCGAACGGGUGAGUAACACGUGAGUAACCUGCCCUUGACUUUGGGAUAACUUCAGGAAACUGGGGCUAAUACCGGAUAGGAGCUCCUGCUGCAUGGUGGGGGUUGGAAAGUUUCGGCGGUUGGGGAUGGACUCGCGGGUUAUCAGCUUGUUGGUGGGGUAGUGGCUUACCAAGGCUGUGACGGGUAGCCGGCCUGAGAGGGUGACCGGCCACAUUGGGACUGAGAUACGGCCCAGACUCCUACGGGGGGCAGCGGUGGGGAGUAUUGCACAAUGGGCGGAAGCCUGAUGCAGCAACGCCGCGUGCGGGAUGACGGCCUUCGGGUUGUAAACCGCUUUCGCCUGUGACGAAGCGUGAGUGACGGUAAUGGGUAAAGAAGCACCGGCUAACUACGUG
rnacentral:rRNA from 1 species